GACCACUCUUGUGGCUUAGAGGUGAGAGCAUCUGCCUCAGAUGUGGGAAGUUGUGGGUUCAAACCCUGGCUGAGUCA